GAAAAGAGCAGCCAGGAAGAACUGUUAGUCUUCCCCAAGCACUGUUUUCCACUGCCAGACAUUCAUCAUCUCGUCGAAUGUUCACAGCCACCAUGAGGUAAUCAAUACCAUUUCUAUUUUUCAUAUGAGGACACCGAAAGCCAGAGAAGUCGGGUAUUCAGAUUCCAAAUCAUUGUGCUGAGGCAAUCCUGCCUUCGGCUGAAGAAAUAGGGAGCGGGGACAAUGCGUCAGGACGGCCUCUUUUUACUCAGCGUGAGCUUUGUUACUCACCCGAGGUGUUCUACCUUGAAUCAUGGCUUUUGUGAGGAAAACCAGGAUCAUGCAGAAGGAUGAAGUGCUAUUUCCUCAGUGGCACCUUCAGUGCUACUGACACUUUCAAGAAUAUGCGUGUCUAUGCAGCAGAAACAGACACCCUGAGAUGCUGGAUUUGAGAUAAUUCACUGAGUUUUAUCAACAUAUGUGAACACACAGAUUUUCAGCUAAUAUUAGAAGUUGAGAUGAGACUGAUUAACGUGACUCCUAGGCAGGCCUCAUCAUAUCUCCUAAAAGAAGUGCAAGCAUCCUAUUUGAAUACAUACCCUGGCCCUCCUCCUUUUUCCCUUGAGUUCCCUCUUGAGGUUAAUAAAACUUGAUGUAUGAGAUGACGUUGAGUGUCCCAGGCCCAAAGAAGUUCAGGAUGAGUACAAACAUGUGCAUACCGUGGUUAGAAGAUAAGAUUGCUUGGAGUUCUUUGCUUCAUUCUGACCACGUGCAGAUCAGCAUAGAUGGUGAGUGAGGAAAAGCUCUUCCUGUGGACACUUCUGAAUAAGUUCUAAUAACUUGACUAAAAUUUAUUCCAGAAAUAAAAUAUUCAGAGUGCUCAAUUAGAAA
rnacentral:lncRNA from 1 species